rnacentral:rRNA from 1 species
UACGGAGGGUGCAAGCGUUGCUCGGAAUUAUUGGGCGUAAAGGGCAGGUAGGUGGUCUCAUUUGUCUGGGGUGAAAUCCUUGGGCUUAACCCAAGAAGUGCCUUAGAAACGGUGGGACUGGAGUGCUGGAGGGGAUCGUGGAAUUCCCGGUGUAGCGGUGAAAUGCGUAGAGAUCGGGAGGAACACCAGAAGCGAAGGCGGCGAUCUGGACAGCAACUGACACUCAACUGCGAAAGCGUGGGGAGCAAACAGG